UUGUAAAAUAUUUUACCAAAAAAUCAAUGGUAAAACAUUUUACAAAACGCUCACUCCCUCUCACCCGAUCCUAUCUCCCUCUUCUUCUCGGUUCUUCUCUCCCUCUCUCAAACUCUCUCCCCAGCCAAACCAGUGAGACCAGCGACAACACCCACCAGCGACAAGCCACUGGUGGCGCCACUCCCUACCGAAUCCGACCCAGUUCUUCAGCUUCGAAAAUUGCCCUUCAAGACCCAGAUUGAAGAGAUUAAAACCAUUCAUCUAAGAUUGUUGAGUUGAGUUGAGUUGAUUUUCUGGAGGUCGGAUUGUGGUGGAGCUGCUUUUGGUGGGUCGAAUUACGUUGGAUAAAACACUACAUUAGAAUAAAAAGAAGAGAAAGCAUCCUUCUUUUUCUCUCUCUCUCCCAAAACAAAAAGGAAAAAAAAAAAAAAUCUCUCCCUCAUCGGCGAAGAAGAGGAAGUUGAGGCAGAAGUAGAAGCGGUGCAAGCAGUGUACGGAGACGAUUGCGUGGUUCUCCAAUCCUACCCUCCCCACCUCCACCUCCUCCUCAAGCCUCGCACCGCCGAUGUCACCUCCCAACAGAGAUGAAGUGGAACUUUUCUUCAAUCUGGAGUCUCUAAUUUCAUCAAAGCAAAGGCUUUCAGUUGUGUUAUAUUGAUCCUGGAGUUUCCAGUGGGGAGGAGAUGAAACCACUGAAGAGAAUAUAUAGUGCACAAUUAUAAAGUAUUGUGUUCUCUGUUAGUGCUUCUUUUAGGUACUAUUUAUCCUUUUCAUUAUGUUAUUUAUUCGAUACCUUUUCUGUUGUACUGUAUGAAAAAAAUAUAUUUAAAGGUUAUUACUUGAACACCAAAUGAAAAAAAUUACAGCUGUAUGUUUGUUUUGUAAUUUUGUUUAGCAAGUCAAUAUAUUGAAGUUUUGUGAUAGCUAAUCUGCAAGAUUAGCAAUCUCACAAUCCGAUUACGUAAUUCUCAACUUAAAUUACAAAAGGUAUCCAUCCAUGACUAGAGUAACCAACUAAAGCACAAUUGCAAUUUAAUUCCACUCACAAACUUGAGUUGCAUUGAGUAUCUCAUUUAGAACCUAUAGUUUGUCAUUAUAGCAUUACAAAAAAUGUAUAGACACACACUCUCUUAGAGAAAGAACAUCAUUAUCAGAAACAUCAGAACAUUUCUCCCUGCAUUCUCUCAAUUUUUUUUUUUUUCCCAAGUCCAAGAAAAUCCUCUCAGCUCCAAAAACUUUUUGCAGAUUAAACCCAUUAGUCAAGAAAAGUAAUUCUUAUCUAAGUUCUGAAGAAUAUAUUCAUUGAAAUGGUUCAAGGUCAUCAUGGACGGAUUUUUUUGGAAAAAUUCAUUCAUAAUUGAGAAGUUUCUAAGGCAUAUCUAUACAGUGCAAUUGGUUAGGUAGAUUAGGUAAUGAUAAUCAUGAAUUAACUAAAAAUUUCCAUAAUGAUUAUUAUUGCUUAAAAGCUAAUCGAUAUUUAAUAUACAUUUCAGUUGAUUUAAGGAUCAUCUAGAUCUAUUAUUGCUUAAAUUCUAUGAAAUUUUUGUGGUUUUAGAUAGUGCAAUUGUUAUGGAUGCUUGACUUUUAUACCCAACUUUAAUGGCUACAUUAUAGUGAUUUUUAGUUAAUUAAGUUGAAUACCUCUAUUUAUCCUAGCCGGGGACAAAUGAUUUAUUAUUUGGAUAGAGAAUAAAAGGAUGAUUCAAAGAGCUACAAAGAUAGGAUAGCAACAGAUUGGUAAUUGAAUUAAAAAUUGGCAUGCAUAAUUAUAUUAGAAAUGCGUUAUAUUUAAUAGAUGGCUUGGUCAAUUAGGAAUCACACCAAAGCUCUAGAUGCAGUUAGAUAUGUGUGUGUGUGUGUGUGUGUGUGUGUACAUUUGUGUUUUAACAUUUGAUAGCAGUACAAUGCUUACGGCAGAGCUGUUUUUGGGUUUGAUUAACUCAAAGAUAUGUAACUAUAAAUAUCUUUCUUAAUAGUUCAAUGAUUGAUGUCCAAAUCAAUUGAAAACAAUUAUAAAGAAUUAGGUAGAUGGUAAAGAGUAAAGCACCCUGCAGUUUGCAUUGCUCUAUACCAGGAAAGGGAUUUCAAUUGGAUUAAUAUGCAUGUUGCAGGAAGUGUAAGGAUUCAAAGAGGAAAGCUUUAAGACAAAUAGCUUAAACUCAACAACAAAAGUAAGAUGGAAUAUUGUAAGCAAUUAUUAUGUUGUACAUUGAGGAUAUUUUUAUUGAAUUAUGAAGUAACUAUUCAAUUUAUUUGUUUUUAUUUUCUGCAAAAAAAAAUUGUCUAACAGUAUAUGGAGUUAUGGUAAUUUUUGUGAUGUUAAAGUGAUAGAAUGACUUUGUAUAUUUUGUGGUGUUAAAAGUGAUAGAAUGACUUUGUAUAUAGAAAGUAGACACUUCUCUCUACAUGGUCUAAAAUUUUGCCAGUUGGUGCAGUCCUUGCAAUAUUCUUUUUUUUUAAAUUAAUUUUUUAAAGUUUCUGUGAGACUACUUACUACUGUAGUCUGAUGUAAUUCAUUACUACUAUAGGGUUUGAAUUUCAUGAUAUUUUAAUUAUUAAUUAUUGUUAGUUGAAGACACUGAUUCUUGCUUCUAGCAAAAACAAAUACACCUAUUACAUGCUUGAGUGCAUGUGUGAUGAAGAAAGACGAUUUUUUUUUGGUCUAUUUCAAAUUUUGUUGAAUGAACAAGAAAUUUCAAGAUUAGAUUUCAUAGUUUUCUUUCCUGCAAGUUUUUUUUUUUGGUAUUAUCUAACUAUAAAAUGUUUAAAUUUUCACCUACAAUUUGUCUUUUGUAAUAAAUAAAAGUGUCCCGCACAUUGUGCGGAUUAUAAGCUAGUAUAUAUAAAAGCAGAGACCUCAUGCGGAAAAGCAUGAGGUCUUGCCAUGUGGCGCUCUAAUCUUGAAUUUAGCCUUCACAUUAACUUCUUUUCUCACUUCUCCAAAAAAUGAGCUGUCCUCCGAAAUUAUACAAAAGGUUUUAAAAACCCCAGCCCACUUAUUAUAUUACAAAUUACUAGUAUUUGAAAAGCCCAAGCCUCCCCCAAGUGUAAUGUAAGCAAUGACCUUACCCUCAGACAGCACUCUUUGACUUCUUUGAAUUCCAGUCCACAUUUACUGAUUAUUUGAAGUGAUAAAUGCAGAGAAGCUUUAAGAGAUUUCAGUAUUUGGUCUUUUGGCCUUCAAUCCAGUCACUUUCCCUUAUCCUUUUAGCCAAUUAUAUAGCACACUCAAGCAUUUUACUCCUUUGAUGCCAUUCUGCUUGGAGUGUUUUAUCUUCUUCUCACAGCUAUUUUCCCUGACACAAUUGGAGCAUGUUUUGGUCACACUGAUUUCACCUUCUAAUUCAAGGUCUAUUACGUGGACAUGUUUAUUUCUUCCUACAGUAUAUGCAAGAUCUGUAGGAGCAAGCGUGGACAAGUUAGAAAAGCUAAGGUCCUUCCCCACUUAGUUGAUUGUUUAGACACUCAUUAGCUUGGACUCAAGCUCAAUGUCUAACAAGCAGUACACACACCAAUUCAUGUUCCCUGUUUUAGAAAUAACCAAUAUGAAAAUUCAUUUGCAAUCUCUCAACUCAUUUUUUAUCUAUAGCGUUAGGUGAAAGCUAUUUUAUUCUUGGUCUCAAGUUUUUAAAUUGUUCUUCAAAUUGUCUGUAUAAAAUAUUUUUGUAAAAAUGCUCUCUAAUUUUAUAAAGAACAUUCUGGUUUGCUUGAUCAGAGUUGAAAUGUAUGUAGUCUGAUUUAAAUCUAACAAGCAUAUGUUAGAGGUUUGUGAUGUUGCCUUCUUAGUUCUUAGUGUCAUGUUAUUUUCUUUGGAAAGUAGAGGAGACACCUAGGCUACAGGGAUUAGACCAAAAAGUUGAAGACCAAAAUGAAUUUGGUGAAAGUUGUGAAACAGUUGAUGUCUUGUAAGUUGUAACUUAACAAAUUUUAUCCCAAAGUGAUGAUGCCUUCAA